rnacentral:precursor_RNA from 10 species
UGCCGUUGGGAUCGGAAAUUUGGUCAGAUGAACCCGUACAACCGAACUUGUGCUGGCUUUGAAAUCACAAGUCGGUUGUGAUGGGUCUGUUUUGCCAGAGUAUCAGCACUUUCCUACUU